rnacentral:snRNA from 1 species
GUGCUCACUUUGGCAGCACAUGUACUAAAAAUGGAGAGAUACAGAAAAGAUUAGCAUGGCUCCUGCACAAGGAUGACACGCAAAUUCAUGAAGCUUUCCAUAUUUU